rnacentral:misc_RNA from 1 species
GAUGAAGAACGUAGCGAAAUGCGAAAAGUAAUGUGAAUUGCAGAAUUCAGUGAAUCAUCGAAUCUUUGAACGCACAUUGCGCCCGCCAGUAUUCUGGCGGGCAUGCCUGUCUGAGCGUCAUUUCAACCCUCAUGCCCCUAGGGCGUGGUGUUGGGGAUCGGCCAGCGCCCGCGAGGGACGGCCGGCCCCUAAAUCUAGUGGCGGACCCGUCGUGGCCUCCCCUGCGAAGUAGUGAUAUUCCGCAUAGGAGAGCGACGAGCCCCUGCCGUUAAACCCCCAACUUUCUAAGGUUGACCUCAGAUCAGGUAGGAAUACCCGCUGAACUUAAGAAUAUCAAUAAGCGGAGGA